GGGGAAACCCACCCUCCCUCCGCCGAUUACCAUUCGAAAGCAUUAAUUCUGUGGCUACCAGAAUACCAACAUCAAUUUCAAUCAGAGAAUACCAAAGUGCACAACAACAAUGCCCUGCCAGUCGUCUUAAGGGUUUUGUAAAAUCAAACUAAUAUGUGGGAACUAUGAAUGUAUGUAAUCUGGUAGCUGUUUGUUAUGCCCCAUAAAUGGAAUUCACUUGGAAAGCUGGUGGGGCUACCUAGAAAACAAGAUGGCAAAGAGAUGGAUUUUAUUGGAUUAUUUUAUAAGCAGAGUUGUUGGUGUAAUAAUUUAAAGCCAUACAUAGUAUACAAAUGUUUUACCAUUUAUUAUACUUUGAGAUAACAUAUGCGGGAACGAAAAAUCAAAACGCUCAAUCACCAUGAAAUCGUGAUUUUCAUAGCUUGCCAAUGCUUUAAGCAAGUGUACAGUUUGUCUAACAUUGAGAUAGUUGAAGAGAAUAAAAAAUGUGGACAGGAUUGCAUGUCCCGAUUACUUUUCCUAUAGUAAA